GACAGAGGUGCCGAGCGUUAGGCGGAAUCACUGGGCUUAAAGCGUGUGUAGGCGGACUUCUAAGUACCUUGUGAAAUCCCACGGCUCAACCGUGGAACUGCUCGGUAUACUGGUCGUCUUGAGCCACUUAGGGGCAGUCGGAACAGACGGUGGAGCGGUGAAAUGCGUAGAUAUCGUCUGGAACGCCAAAGGUGAAAACAGACUGCUGGGAGUGCGCUGACGCUGAGACACGAAAGCCAGGGGAGCAAAACGGG
rnacentral:rRNA from 1 species